GACUGUAUGUAGUGUAUUGUGUUUCCCUCUCUGCCAUCACUGUCUGUAGUUUGUAUGCCUGUAUGUCUAGCACCUCUGUAGUGUGUCUCCGUAUAACACCUCUAGUGUCUGCGGCAAGGAGGUCACAUUCCUAUGCUAAAUGGCUGCGAGGGUCCACAGGAAGGGACAAGACCAUUUGUCUCCGGUCCGCCACUUAACUCAAACUUUUGAUGUGUAUGAAGGAAAACUGUAUAUCUAGACACCACACAGUGUGAUGGGCAGAGAUUCUCUCAGCGCAGCGCCCGAGUGUGCUGGGUCUGUCUCUCCCUUGCGCAUUGAAUUAAACCACAAAUCCUCUGAGGAAACUUUGUCAGCGUGUUCCUCAUCGUCCUGCAUUUGACUCCACGAAUAAGGGCAAAAUAUCCUAACAGUUUUGGCGACCACGAAGGGACAGGAAAUAUCUUCCACUUGAAACAACGAGAAUCAACAAGAAGGUGAGUAUCUUUUAUUAAACACAACUUACCACCUUCAUUAGGCGUUGAUUUUCCUUGGUGCAAUUUGGAAGUGACUCCUGUUCUGUAUUUUAAGAAAUAGUUACGUGGACGGGACUUUGAUGUAACAACUGAUAAUGAGUUUGUCUUUUAAUGUUGACGUCAUUUUAAUGUGGUAGUGCUAGCAGUAUUAACAGAGUACGCGGGAGCGUCAAUCUGUUCAGUAACGUCUGCGUGCUGAAGUAGAGCACGGCAGCGUUCCGGACCACGUCGGGUCCUCGACGCUGAGAAACGCGUCGGUAGUAACGUGUGUCGGUAUUUGACAGAAGGACACGUUUCGAGCCACGUCGGGCUCACGGGCGAAGUAGCGUCCACUUUCCUUAGUAACGUCUGCGUGCUGGGUGAAGUCACGUAACGUUCCGGACCACGUCGGGUCCACUACGCCAAGAAGAGCGUCUGUUUAGUAACGUGUGUCGGUAUUUGACAGAAGGACACGUUUCGAGCCACGUCGGGCUCACGGGCGAAGUAGCGUCCACCUUCCUUAAAACAGUAACGUGUGUCGGUAUUUGGCAGAAGGACACGUUUCGAGCCACGUCGGGCUCACGGGCGAAGUAGCGUCCACCUUCCUUAAAACAGUAACGUGUGUCGGUAUUUGGCAGAAGGACACGUUUCGAGCCACGUCGGGCUCACGGGCGAAGUAGCGUCCACCUUCCUUAAAACAGUAACGUGUGUCGGUAUUUGGCAGAAGGACACGUUUCGAGCCACGUCGGGCUCACGGGCGAAGUAGCGUCCACCUUCCUUAAAACAGUAACGUGAUAUUUCCUGUGUGUGUCGUUUUGGGUCAGAACACAUCAGACGAGGGAGCGUCUGUGUAAUAAUUUGUUGGACAAGUUUUGGUGUUGCUGAUUGCUGUUAGUAGCCUAAGUGUUUCGGAGUAACACUGCAAAUUGUGAAAAAACUGGGCUGCGUGCCAAAGUGUGUGCAAGAAGAGAACCUUGGUUGUUUACCAAUGCGAGUGAAUGCGAGAAAGUGCACUCAAUGUUGUUUUGUUCGGAGCUCCAUCAGUGUUGUCAUGUCUACAGAAUAACGUAUUGUUGUGUUAGGCAUACGUGAUAUGUUUGUUAUAUGUGUACACAAUAUAGUAUAUAUAACCCAUAUAACAUAAGAGUAAAAGCGCAUAUUUUCCUUUCGUGUAGUUAACGGCUCCUAAUAGCUAAUCUGCGUAAUUCUGAAGGGCUACCAACUACGGGAAUGAUGACGGAGAAAGAAGUUUUAUGCGGGGAUCUAAUGGCAGCGGCAUUAAAAGCUAUGGUUAAAAGAUAUGGGAAAGCAAUGAGAACUAAUCCCCCAUUCCCUAGCAAAAAUGACUCCGGUGUAAUUUCAGAGAAGGCACUGAACGUAUGGUGGUCCCAACAGAAAAACAAUAAAGAGAAAGGUAAAUAUGCAGCAAUGUGUGUUAGCUGAUGUAAUUAAUAGCCUCCCUGGAAUUAAAUCAUGUGUGUGCCAAUAUGUCGAUGAUUUAUUAAUUUCGUACAAAAUACGGACACGCAUCGCAGAGACUUAGAUGUUAUUUUAAAACAUCUGGCAAAACAUGGUGUGAAGUGUAACCCACGCAAAGCACAGAUCGCACAAACAGAAGUCAUUUAUCUAGGGUAUAUGGUUUCACAGGGGUGUAAGAGAAUGACCACAAACCGAAUUGAAGCCAUAACAGAGUGGCGGCGACCUACUACAGCACGAGCGCUACGCAAAAUACUUGGUAUUUUUAAUUAUUGUCGGACCCAUAUACCCAACUACUCAACAAUUGUUCAACCGAUAAACAACCUCUUAAAGGGAGCGGGGGGUCCACAUGACGGGAUAGAAUGGUCGUCUGAGUGUGAGACGGCUUUUCCCAUUUUAAAACAAAAAACUUUGCACUUCUCUCCCCAACCCACUUGUGCCUUUCACACUAUAUACUCAUGUAAAUACAGGACACAUGGCGGCGGUGCUGACACAAAAGCAUGGGGACAGACAAAGGCCGGUUGCAUAUUUCUCCUCUAAAUUAGAUGUGGUUGUAAAAGCGAUGCCGGACUGUUUACAAGCCGUUGAAGCUGCCUCCAUUGCCUUAAAUCAAGCGUUGCCGUUAAUUAGCACACAGGAAAUUGAUGUUGUAGUCCCUCAUUCUGUUCUGUCUAUUUUGUCAAGAAAAAGGUUGACAGCAGUACACGUGGCUCGAUGGACUCGAUGGGAAACAAGUCUUCGGAUGCCAUCAGUACAUUUAAAACAUAUAACUACUUUGAACCCAGCUACCCUAUUCCCAAAUCCUGAUGAGGGACAACCUCAUCACUGUUGUGAUGUAGGGGAAAGAAAUAUGUGCUGGUGCUCAUUGAUCAUUUUACUAAAUGGGUAGAAGCAUUUCCAACAGCGCACAACACAGCAACUGACGUAGCCAAAGUGCUAUUAACCGAAAUAAUUCCAAGAUGGGGUUUGCCAUGUGCUAUUGACAGUGAUCAAGGUACUCACUUUACAGGAAAAAUCAUUAAAACAGUAUGCCGAGCACUGGGGAUUAAACAAAAGUUUCACUGCCCUUUUCAUCCCCAAAGCUCCGGUCUGGUGGAACGUGCGAACCGCAGCUUAAAAACAAACUAACCAAACAGUUGUUUGCAGGCACUGGAGAAGACUGGGUUUCACACUUACCGGCUGUCCUUCUUUCCCUAAGAGCAGGCCCCACUAAUCCUGAAUCACUCUCUCCUUUUGAAAUGCUAACAGGUAGACCCAUGAGGACUCCCGGGGAUUUGUGUAUUGCAGGAGGAGAAUUGCAUGUGAUGGGCGAUAGGUUGCUGGAAUAUUGUAAGCUUUUGUCUCAGUGUGUACCACAGGACCCACGGACAAAACCGGAUCCAGUGACAGACCUGGAGGAGAGCCCCGCAGUCCAACCCGGAGACCAAGUCCUGGUGAAGUCCUUCCAGAAAAAGACAUUCGGCCCUCACUGGACUGGACAACAUACUGUGUUACUCACCACCCCAUCAGCUGCCCGCUUGACCGGAAUACCAACAUGGAUUCACCUGACUCGUCUGAGAAAGUACACAAGUCCAACACAACAUGAAGCGCAGCUCAAUCCUUCUUCCCCACAAAGUACUGGGAAGCCGGUUUGUGUUAACACACCUUAAGGCAGAAAGAUAUGCGGAUCCGCAGUUCUCAAAUGUGCACCAACGCGAGUGGAUACAUCUGGACUUGGGACCAUACUUUUAAUCAAACUGGAUGGGGAUCUUUCCAAUGCAACAAGGACAUAUGGAGAGUUGUAAACUGUCAAUUGUGGGGUUUGAAAAACCCAGGAAAACUUCUGGACAAUCUUUAAAUUGUGAGAAAUUGAUUCUCUCACCAGAACUGUACACAGGCCAACCCGAGGAGGAUGGGUCCCCCCUGCUGAGCCUUGGUUCCUCCCAAGGUUUCUCCCCUUUAUGCUAGGGGAGUUUUCCUUGCCACUGUUGCCAUGUGCUUGCUCACUGGGGGUAUAGGCCUAAAUAGGUUAUGGGGAAUAUGGCAUUUAGCACCAUAUUCCCAAAUACAAAAUGGGGGACUGAUAGGUUCCCAGUUUUAUGUAGUAUACAUAUAUAUAUAUUAUAUGUAGUGUAUUGUGUUUCCGUUUCUGCCAUUACUGUGUCUGUAGUUUGCAUGCCUCUGUGUCUAGCCCCUCUGUAGUGUGUCUCAGUAUAACACCUCUAGUGUCUGCGGCAAGGAUGUCACAUUCCUAUGCUAAAUGGCUGCGAGGGUCCCCAGGAAGGGACAAGACCAUUUGUCUUCGGCCCGCCACUUAACUCAACCUUUUGAUAUGUAUGACUCCAAACUGUAUAUCCAGACACCACACAGCGUGAUCGGCAGAGAUUCUCUCAGCGCAGCGCCCGAGUGUGCUGGGUCUGUCUCUCCCUUGCGCAUUGAAUUAAACAACAAAUCCUCUGAGGAAACUUUGUCAGCGUGUUCUUCAUCGUCCUGCAUUUGACUCCACGAAUAAGGGCAAAAAUAUCCUAACAGUUUUGGCAACCACGAAGGGACAGGAAAUAUCUUCCACUUGAAACAACGAGAAUCAACAAGAAGGUGAGUAUCUUUUCUUAAACACAACUUACCACCUUCAUUAGGCGUUGAUUUUCCUUGGUACAAUUUGGAAGUGACUCCUGUUCUGUAUUUUAAGAAAUAGUUACGUGGACAGGACUUUGAUGUAACAACUGAUAAUGAGUUUGUCUUUUAAUGUUCACGUCAUUUUAAUGUGGUAGUGCUAGCAGUAUUAACAGAGUACGCGGGAGCGUCAAUCUGUUCAGUAACGUCUGCGUGCUGAAGUAGAGCACGGCACCGUUCCGGACCACGUCGGGUCCUGGACGCUGAGAAACGCGUCGGUUUAGUAACGUGUGUCGGUAUUUGACAGAAGGACACGUUCCGAGCCACGUCGGGCUCACGGGCGAAGUAGCGUCCACCUUCCUUAGUAACGUCUGCGUGCUGGGUGAAGUCACGUAACGUUCCGGACCACGUCGGGUCCUCGACGCUGAGAGAUGCGUCGGUUUAGUAACGUGUGUCGGUAUUUGACAGAAGGACACGUUCCGAGCCACGUCGGGCUCACGGGCGAAGUUGCAUCCACUUUCCUUAAGCUGUUUAGUAACGUGUGUGUCGGGAGUGGGCACAAAAACACGUUUCGGGUCGGAACCAUCAGACGAGAGAACGUCUGUUUAAUAACUUGUUGGACAGGUUUUGGUGUUGAUGGUUUUUGGGGCAUGCUGGUUGCUGUUAGUAGCCUAAGUGUUUCGGAGUAACACUGCCAAUUGUGAAAAACUGGGCUGCGUGCCAAAGUGUGUGCAAGAAGAGAACCUUGGUUGUUUACCAAUGCGAGUGAAUGCGAGAAAGUGCACUCAAUGUUGUUUUGUUCGGAGCUCCAUCAGUGUUGUAAUGUCUACAGAAUAACGUAUUGUUGUGUUAGGCCUACGUGAUAUGUUUGUUAUAUGAAGUGUACACAAUAUAGUAUAUAUAACCCAUAUAAGAGAAUCGUAAAAGCGUAUAUUUUCCUUCCGUGUAGUUAACGGCUCAUAAUAGCUAAUCUGCGUAAUUCUGAAGGGCUACCAACUACGGGAAUGAUGACGGAGAAAGAGGUUUUAUGCGGGGAUCUAAUGGCAGCGGCAUUAAAAGCUAUGGUUAAAAGAUAUGGGAAAGCAAUGAGAACUAAUCCCCCAUUCCCUAGCAAAAAUGAUUCCGGGGUAAUUUCAGAGAAGGCACUGAAUGUAUGGUGGUCCCAACAGAAAAAUAA